UUACCCUGCCCCCAUUGCUCCCUCGUGGAGAAUACCUUUUAGUUUGUCUGUAAUCAGUGGUGAGCAGGUAACAGCUGCCUACUUGGUAUUUUUUGAAUUAUGGGAAAGUACAAAACACCUGUUUGUUAAUAAUAGUCACCUGUUCAGAGAGAAUAAAUACAUGGAUUACAGCUGCUUGGGGCCUUCAGCCUAUAAUGCAAUCAACCUCUGAGGCUCUCAGCUCAGUAGGCUGCCGGCCCCUGGAUAGACCCACUUUGCUGUUCUAUCUGGGUGUUUGCCUCUCAUUUCCUUCAGCACUGCCUGGGUGGGGGUCUCCCAGCCUAGCUGGUACUUGAACCUAGCUCAGUGCACCUUGGUUGGGCAGAGAGCAGCUUAGUGUUGGAUAAAUGACAAGAUGAUAGCGGACACAUUGAAUUUAUUUGAGGAAGAAGCAGCAUAACCAAGAUAUAUAUGUAUUUUAACUUCUGAGGAGCUAUUUGAGAAAA